AACGAACGCUGGCGGCAUGCCUAACACAUGCAAGUCGAACGAACCCUUCGGGGUUAGUGGCGCACGGGUGCGUAACGCGUGGGAAUCUGCCCUUUGCUUCGGAAUAACAGUUAGAAAUGACUGCUAAUACCGGAUGAUGUCUUCGGACCAAAGAUUUAUCGGCAAGGGAUGAGCCCGCGUAGGAUUAGGUAGUUGGUGGGGUAAAGGCCUACCAAGCCGACGAUCCUUAGCUGGUCUGAGAGGAUGAUCAGCCACACUGGGACUGAGACACGGCCCAGACUCCUACGGGAGGCAGCAGUGGGGAAUAUUGGACAAUGGGCGCAAGCCUGAUCCAGCAAUGCCGCGUGAGUGAUGAAGGCCUUCGGGUCGUAAAGCUCUUUUACCAGGGAUGAUAAUGACAGUACCUGGAGAAUAAGCUCCGGCUAACUCCGUGCCAGCCGCCGCAGUAAUAC
rnacentral:rRNA from 1 species